rnacentral:rRNA from 1 species
AAUCAACGCUGGCGGCGUGCCUAACACAUGCAAGUCGAACGAGAAAGGGUAGCAAUACCUGAGUAAAGUGGCGACCGGGUGAGUAACACGUGACUAACCUACCCUAAAGUGGGGAAUAACCUCGGGAAACCGGGCUAAUACCGCAUAACGUCCUGUGGCUGAAAUGCCGUUGGACCAAAGGAGUAAUCCGCUUAUGGAGGGGUCGCGGCAGAUUAGCUAGUUGGUGAGGUAAUGGCUCACCAAGGCAUUGAUCUGUAGCCGGCCUGAGAGGGCGCACGGCCACACUGGAACUGAAACACGGUCCAGACUCCUACGGGAGGCAGCAGU